AGAAGCUUGCUUCUUUGCUGACGAGUGGCGGACGGGUGAGUAAUGUCUGGGAAACUGCCUGAUGGAGGGGGAUAACUACUGGAAACGGUAGCUAAUACCGCAUAACGUCGCAAGACCAAAGAGGGGGACCUUCGGGCCUCUUGCCAUCGGAUGUGCCCAGAUGGGAUUAGCUAGUAGGUGGGGUAACGGCUCACCUAGGCGACGAUCCCUAGCUGGUCUGAGAGGAUGACCAGCCACACUGGAACUGAGACACGGUCCAGACUCCUACGGGAGGCAGCAGUGGGGAAUAUUGCACAAUGGGCGCAAGCCUGAUGCAGCCAUGCCGCGUGUAUGAAGAAGGCCUUCGGGUUGUAAAGUACUUUCAGCGGGGAGGAAGGGAGUAAAGUUAAUACCUUUGCUCAUUGACGUUACCCGCAGAAGAAGCACCGGCUAACUCCGUGCCAGCAGCCGCGGUAAUACGGAGGGUGCAAGCGUUAAUCGGAAUUACUGGGCGUAAAGCGCACGCAGGCGGUUUGUUAAGUCAGAUGUGAAAUCCCCGGGCUCAACCUGGGAACUGCAUCUGAUACUGGCAAGCUUGAGUCUCGUAGAGGGGGGUAGAAUUCCAGGUGUAGCGGUGAAAUGCGUAGAGAUCUGGAGGAAUACCGGUGGCGA
rnacentral:rRNA from 1 species